UGGGGAAUUUUGCGCAAUGGGCGAAAGCCUGACGCAGUAACGCCGCGUGGAGGAUGAAGGCCUUCGGGUUGUAAACUCCUGUCGGGAGGAACGACGGAGAAGGGGUGAUAAGCCCUUUUCUUCAGACGGUACCUCCAAAGGAAGCCCCGGCUAAUUCCGUGCCAGCAGCCGCGGUAAUACGGAAGGGGCUAGCGUUGUUCGGAAUCAUUGGGCGUAAAGGGCGCGUAGGUGGUUUUGUAUGUCUACCGUGAAAGCACACGGCUCAACCGUGUUACGUCGGUAGAAACUGCAGGACUUGAGGCUGGGAGGGGCUGGUGGAAUUCCCCGUGUAGCGGUGAAAUGCGUAGAGAUGGGGGAGAACACUCGUGGCGAAGGCGGCCAGCUAGACCAGUUCUGACACUGAGGCGCGAUAGCGUGGGGAGCAAACAG
rnacentral:rRNA from 1 species